GACGAACGCUGGCGGCGUGCCUAAUACAUGCAAGUCGAACGCAUUUUCUUUCACCGUAGCUUGCUACACCGAAAGAAAAUGAGUGGCGAACGGGUGAGUAACACGUGGGUAACCUGCCCAUCAGCGGGGGAUAACACUUGGAAACAGGUGCUAAUACCGCAUAAUUCCAUUUACCGCAUGGUAAAUGGAUGAAGGGCGCUUUUGCGUCACUGAUGGAUGGACCCGCGGAGCAUUAGCUAGUUGGUGGGGUAACGGCCUACCAAGGCUGCGAUGCAUAGCCGACCUGAGAGGGUGAUCGGCCACACUGGGACUGAGACACGGCCCAGACUCCUACGGGAGGCAGCAGUAGGGAAUCUUCGGCAAUGGACGCAAGUCUGACCGAGCAACGCCGCGUGAGUGAAGAAGGUUUUCGGAUCGUAAAACUCUGUUGUUAGAGAAGAACAAGGAUGAGAGUGGAAAGUUCAUCCCUUGACGGUAUCUAACCAGAAAGCCACGGCUAACUACGUG
rnacentral:rRNA from 1 species